rnacentral:rRNA from 1 species
CCUACGGGGGGCAGCAGUGAGGAAUAUUGGUCAAUGGGCGCGAGCCUGAACCAGCCAAGUAGCGUGAAGGAUGACUGCCCUACGGGUUGUAAACUUCUUUUAUAAAGGAAUAAAGUGAGGCACGUGUGCCUUUUUGUAUGUACUUUAUGAAUAAGGAUCGGCUAACUCCGUGCCAGCAGCCGCGGUAAUACGGAGGAUCCGAGCGUUAUCCGGAUUUAUUGGGUUUAAAGGGAGCGUAGAUGGGUUGUUAAGUCAGUUGUGAAAGUUUGCGGCUCAAACGUAAAAUUGAAAUUGAUACUGGCAGCCUUGAGUACAGUUGAGGUAGGCGGAAUUCGUGGGGUAGCGGGGAAAUGCUUAGAUAGUACGAAGAAAUCCGAUUGCGAAGGCAGCUUACUAAACUGCCACUGACAUUGAUGCUCGAAAGUGUGGGUAUCAAACAGGAAUAGAUACCCCUGUAGUC